rnacentral:rRNA from 1 species
GACGAACGCUGGCGGCGUGCCUAAUACAUGCAAGCUGAGCGAUGAAGAUUGGUGCUUGCCCCAAUUUGAAGAGCAGCGAACGGGUGAGUAACGCGUGGGGAAUCUGCCUUUGAGCGGGGGACAACAUUUGGAAACGAAUGCUAAUACCGCAUAAUAACUUUAAACAUAAGUUUUAAGUUUGAAAGAUGCAAUUGCAUCACUCAAAGAUGAUCCCGCGUUGUAUUAGCUAGUUGGUGAGGUAAAGGCUCACCAAGGCGAUGAUACAUAGCCGACCUGAGAGGGUGAUCGGCCACAUUGGGACUGAGACACGGCCCAAACUCCUACGGGAGGCAGCAGUAGGGAAUCUUCGGCAAUGGACGAAAGUCUGACCGAGCAACGCCGCGUGAGUGAAGAAGGGUUUCGGAUCGUAAAACUCUGUUGGUAGAGAAGAACGUUGGUGAGAGUGGAAAGCUCAUCAAGUGACGGUAACUACCCAGAAAGGGACGGCUAACUACGUG